rnacentral:rRNA from 1 species
AGCGAACGCUGGCGGCAGGCUUAACACAUGCAAGUCGAGCGGGCAUCUUCGGAUGUCAGCGGCAGACGGGUGAGUAACACGUGGGAACGUACCCUUCGGUUCGGAACAACUCUGGGAAACUGGAGCUAAUACCGGAUACGCCCUUAUGGGGAAAGGUUUACUGCCGAAGGAUCGGCCCGCGUCUGAUUAGCUAGUUGGUGGGGUAACGGCCUACCAAGGCGACGAUCAGUAGCUGGUCUGAGAGGAUGAUCAGCCACACUGGGACUGAGACACGGACCAGACUCCUGCGGGAGGCAGCAGUGGGGAAUAGUGGACAAGGGGGGCAAGCCUGAGCCAGCCAGGCCGCGUGAGUGAUGAAGGCCUGAGGGUUGUAAAGCGCUUUUGUCCGGGACGAUAAUGACGGUACCGGAAGAAUAAGCCCCGGCUAACUUCGUG